GUCUCUGAUGAGGAACAAACUCAGUAAACUUUCGUUCUUCUGAUUAGUUGUUCAUGAAGAAUGCUUUUGGAGACCUGAACUGAAGAGAC